rnacentral:rRNA from 1 species
AGAGUUUGAUCCUGGCUCAGGAUGAACGCUGGCGGCGUGCCUAACACAUGCAAGUCGAACGGGAUCCACCUGGUUUACCGGGUGGUGAGAGUGGCGAACGGGUGAGUAACACGUAGCUUAUCUGUCCUGGAGAGCGGGAUAACGCACCGAAAGGUGUGCUAAUACCGCAUAAGCUCACGAGGGGUAGAGCCUUUGUGAGCAAAGGCUAUGGCAGUGCUCUGGGGUGAGGCUGCGGUCCAUCAGCUGGUUGGUGAGGUAACGGCUCACCAAGGCGAUGACGGAUAGGGGGCCUGAGAGGGUGACCCCCCACACUGGAACUGAGACACGGUCCAGACCCCUACGGGAGGCAGCAGUGAGGGAUAUUGCCCAAUAGACGCCAGUCUGAGGCAGCGACGCCGCGUGGGUGAGGAAGGCUUUCGAGUCGUAAAGCCCUUUUCUGCGUGACGAGGAAGGACGGUAGCGCAGGAAUAAGUGUCGGCUAACUACGUGCCAGCAGCCGCGGUAAAACGUAGGACGCGAGCGUUAUCCGGAAUUACUGGGCGUAAAGCGCGUGCAGGCGGGUCAGCAAGUCAGCCGUGAAAGCUCCCGGCUAAACUGGGAGAGGUCGGUUGAGACUGCUGGUCUGGAGGGUGCUGGAGGCGUGUGGAAUUCCGCGUGUAGUGGUGAAAUGCGUAGAGAUGCGGAGGAACACCGGUGGCGAAGCGGCACGCUGGGGCACACCCGACGCUGAGACGCGAAAGCAUGGGUAGCGAACGGGAUUAGAAACCCCGGUAGUCCAUGCCGUAAACGAUGUGCACUAGACGUUCGAGCGGCACAGCCGUUUGAGUGUCGGAGCCAACGCGUUAAGUGCACCGCCUGGGGAGUACGGCCGCAAGGCUAAAACUCAAAGGAAUUGACGGGGGCCCGCACAAGCAGCGGAGCGUGUGGUUUAAUUCGAGGCUACGCGAAGAACCUUACCUGGGCUCGACAUGCACGUAGUAGUGAAGCGAAAGCGGAGCGACCCUUCGGGGAGCGUGCACAGGUGCUGCAUGGCUGUCGUCAGCUCGUGUCGUGAGAUGUUCGGUUAAGUCCGAAAACGAGCGCAACCCUUGUUGCUAGUUACAAGUGUCUAGCGAGACUGCCUGCGGUAAGCAGGAGGAAGGUGGGGAUGACGUCAAGUCAGCAUGGCCUUGAUGUCCAGGGCGACACACACGCUACAAUGGUCGGUACAAUGGGUAGCCAAGCCGCGAGGUGGAGCCAAUCCUGUAAAGCCGGUCGUAGUUCGGAUUGUAGGCUGCAACUCGCCUGCAUGAAGUCGGAGUUGCUAGUAACCGCAGGUCAGCACACUGCGGUGAAUACGUUCCCGGGCCUUGUACACACCGCCCGUCACGUCAUGGGAGCUGGUUAUGCCUGAAGUCGGGAAGCCAACCGCAAGGAGGCUACCGCCGAAGGCAGAGCCGGUGACUGGGACGAAGUCGUAACAAGGU